rnacentral:rRNA from 1 species
UACGAAGGGGGCUAGCGUUGCUCGGAAUCACUGGGCGUAAAGCGCACGUAGGCGGACUCUUAAGUCAGGGGUGAAAUCCUGGAGCUCAACUCCAGAACUGCCUUUGAUACUGGGAGUCUUGAGUUCGGGAGAGGUGAGUGGAACUGCGAGUGUAGAGGUGAAAUUCGUAGAUAUUCGCAAGAACACCAGUGGCGAAGGCGGCUCACUGGCCCGAUACUGACGCUGAGGUGCGAAGGCGUGGGGAGCAAACGGG